GGUCGUGAGGGCCGGAAUGAGACGAGGAGAAGGCGAUAGCCACCUAACCGGAAGGUUCUGCUCUUGCCCUGGGGCAGGGGCUUCAGGAUGGCAACCAGCCGUCCGCACCGCCUGAGAAGGUCGGCUGGGUCCGGAAAUUCUGCGGGAAAGGGAUUUUCAGGGAGAUUUGGAAAAACCGUUAUGUGGUGCUGAAGGGGGACCAGCUGUACAUCUCUGAGAAGGAGGUAAAAGAUGAGAAAAAUAUUCAAGAGGUGUUUGACCUGAGUGACUAUGAAAAGUGUGAAGAGCUCCGGAAAUCCAAGAGCAGGAGCAAGAAAAAUCAUAGCAAGUUUACUCUUGCCCACUCCAAACAGCCUGGCAACACGGCUCCCAACCUGAUCUUCCUGGCCGUGAGUCCAGAAGAGAAGGAGUCAUGGAUCAAUGCCCUCAACUCUGCUAUCACCCGAGCCAAGAACCGCAUCUUGGAUGAGGUCACCGUUGAGGAGGACAGCUAUCUCGCACACCCCACUCGAGACAGGGCAAAAAUCCAACACUCCCGCCGCCCCCCAACUCGGGGACACCUGAUGGCCGUGGUACGUAAGAUUGUAAGAAAGUAAAACUUGUUGGGGC